rnacentral:rRNA from 1 species
UCAAAAACAUGGCCUAUUGAUUAUAAUUUUAGGUUUGACCUGCCCACUGAAGUUUUAAAUGGCCGCAGUAUUUUGACUGUGCUAAGGUAGCAUAAUCAUUAGUUUCUUAAUUAGAAGCUGGAAUGAAUGGUUUUAUGAAAAAAUAUCUGUCUCUAUUUAAAUUUUUUAGAAUUUUAUUUUUUAGUUAAAAAGCUAAAAUAGGUUUGAAAGACGAGAAGACCCUAUAGAGUUUGAUAAUUUUUUACUUUGUAUUUAUAAGAAUUUUAAAUUUUAAAUUUAAAAUAUUAUUUAAUUGGGGUGAUUAAAAAAUUAAUUUAACUUUUUUUGUUAAAGUACAUUGAUUUAUGAAUUUUUGAUCCAUUUUUUAUGAUUAAAAGUUAAAAUUACCUUAGGGAUAACAGCGUAAUUUUUUCAAAGAGUUCUUAUCGAAGAAAAAGAUUGCGACCUCGAUGUUGGAUUAAAAUUAACUUUUGGUGUAGAAGUUAAAUAAUAGUUAGGUCUGUUCGACCUUUAAAAUUUUACAUGAUCUGA